AACGCACCUUGCGCCCUCUGGUAUUCCGGAGGGCAUGCCUGUUUGAGUGUCAUUAAAUUCUCAACUUCAUUAGUUUUAAUAACUGAUUGAAGCUUGGAUGUGGGGGUUUGCUGGCGUCAAUGAGAUGUUUUCGGCUCCCCUUAAAUGCAUUAGUAGGAACCCGUUUGUUGGCGUCCUUGGUGUGAUAAUUAUCUACACUUUGGCUAGUCUAACAGACUCUAAUGAAGUUUAUACUGUGAGGUUUUGCGCAUUUGAGUGCUUUUCCUGAGUAUGGGGUUUUGUAUUUUUAAUGCUUUACCUGAUAUUUUCAUUAGAGUAGGAACUCUGCUCUCCAACUGUCUGCGUAUUGUGGACAACUUUUGACAACUUGACCUCAAAUCAGGUAGGACUACCCGCUGAACUUAA
rnacentral:misc_RNA from 1 species